rnacentral:rRNA from 1 species
UGGUGCUUGCGACCUGAUUGACGAUGGAUCACCAGUGAGUGGCGGACGGGUGAGUAACACGUAGGUAACCUGCCCCGGAGCGGGGGAUAACAUUUGGAAACAGAUGCUAAUACCGCAUAACAACAAAAGCCACAUGGCUUUUGUUUGAAAGAUGGCUUUGGCUAUCACUCUGGGAUGGACCUGCGGUGCAUUAGCUAGUUGGUAAGGUAACGGCUUACCAAGGCGAUGAUGCAUAGCCGAGUUGAGAGACUGAUCGGCCACAAUGGAACUGAGACACGGUCCAUACUCCUACGGGAGGCAGCAGUAGGGAAUCUUCCACAAUGGGCGCAAGCCUGAUGGAGCAACACCGCGUGAGUGAAGAAGGGUUUCGGCUCGUAAAGCUCUGUUGUUGGAGAAGAACGUGCGUGAGAGUAACUGUUCACGCAGUGACGGUAUCCAACCAGAAAGUCACGGCUAACUACGUGCCAGCAGCCGCGGUAAUACGUAGGUGGCAAGCGUUAUCCGGAUUUAUUGGGCGUAAAGCGAGCGCAGGCGGUUGCUUAGGUCUGAUGUGAAAGCCUUCGGCUUAACCGAAGAAGUGCAUCGGAAACCGGGCGACUUGAGUGCAGAAGAGGACAGUGGAACUCCAUGUGUAGCGGUGGAAUGCGUAGAUAUAUGGAAGAACACCAGUGGCGAAGGCGGCUGUCUGGUCUGCAACUGACGCUGAGGCUCGAAAGCAUGGGUAGCGAACAGGAUUAGAUACCCUGGUAGUCCAUGCCGUAAACGAUGAGUGCUAGGUGUUGGAGGGUUUCCGCCCUUCAGUGCCGGAGCUAACGCAUUAAGCACUCCGCCUGGGGAGUACGACCGCAAGGUUGAAACUCAAAGGAAUUGACGGGGGCCCGCACAAGCGGUGGAGCAUGUGGUUUAAUUCGAAGCUACGCGAAGAACCUUACCAGGUCUUGACAUCUUGCGCUAACCUUAGAGAUAAGGCGUUCCCUUCGGGGACGCAAUGACAGGUGGUGCAUGGUCGUCGUCAGCUCGUGUCGUGAGAUGUUGGGUUAAGUCCCGCAACGAGCGCAACCCUUGUUACUAGUUGCCAGCAUUAAGUUGGGCACUCUAGUGAGACUGCCGGUGACAAACCGGAGGAAGGUGGGGACGACGUCAGAUCAUCAUGCCCCUUAUGACCUGGGCUACACACGUGCUACAAUGGACGGUACAACGAGUCGCAAGCUCGCGAGAGUAAGCUAAUCUCUUAAAGCCGUUCUCAGUUCGGACUGUAGGCUGCAACUCGCCUACACGAAGUCGGAAUCGCUAGUAAUCGCGGAUCAGCAUGCCGCGGUGAAUACGUUCCCGGGCCUUGUACACACCGCCCGUCACACCAUGGGAGUUUGUAACGCCCAAAGU